rnacentral:rRNA from 1 species
UACGUAGGGGGCGAGCGUUGUCCGGAGUUACUGGGCGUAAAGGGCAUGCAGGCGGUCGGACGCGUUUCGGGUGACAGCGGGUGGCUUAACUACCCGAGUGGUCGAAAGACGGUUUGACUUGAGGACGCGAGAGGGACACGGAAUCCGGGUGGAGUGGUGAAAUGCGUAGAGAUCCGGAGGAACACCAGCGGCGAAGGCGGCAUCCUGGACUGGUCCUGACACUCAGGAGCGAAAGCGUGGGGAGCGAUCCGG